rnacentral:rRNA from 1 species
ACGUACACUCCUACGGGAGGCAGCAGUGGGGAAUAUUGGACAAUGGGCGCAAGCCUGAUCCAGCCAUGCCGCGUGAGUGAUGAAGGCCCUAGGGUUGUAAAGCUCUUUCACCGGUGAAGAUAAUGACGGUAACCGGAGAAGAAGCCCCGGCUAACUUCGUGCCAGCAGCCGCGGUAAUACGAAGGGGGCUAGCGUUGUUCGGAUUUACUGGGCGUAAAGCGCACGUAGGCGGACUAUUAAGUCAGGGGUGAAAUCCCGGGGCUCAACCCCGGAACUGCCUUUGAUACUGGUAGUCUUGAGUUCGAGGGAGGUGAGUGGAAUUCCGAGUGUAGAGGUGAAAUUCGUAGAUAUUCGGAGGAACACCAGUGGCGAAGGCGGCUCACUGGCUCGAUACUGACGCUGAGGUGCGAAAGCGUGGGGAGCAAACAGGAUUAGAAACCCCGGUAGUCCCA